rnacentral:rRNA from 1 species
ACGGGACCCGCACAAGCAGCGGAGCGUGUGGUUUAAUUCGAUGCUACACGAACGAACCUUACCAAGGUUUGACAUGUAAGUGGUAGUGAUCUGAAAGUGAACGACCCUUCGGGGAGCUUACACAGGUGCUGCAUGGCUGUCGUCAGCUCGUGUCGUGAGAUGUUCGGUUAAGUCCGCUAACGAGCGCAACCCUCACUGUGUGUUACAUGUGUCACACGGGACUGCCGGUUUUAAGCCGGAGGAAGGCGAGGAUGACGUCAAGUCAGCAUGGCCUUUAUAUCUUGGGCUACACACACGCUACAAUGGUCUGUACAAUAGGUUGCCAAGCCGCGAGGCGGAGCCAAUCCUUAAAGCAGGCCUCAGUUCAGAUUGCAGGCUGCAACCCGCCUGCAUGAAGAUGGAGUUGCUAGUAACCGCAGGUCAGCUAUACUGCGGUGAAUACGUUCCCGGGUCUU